rnacentral:rRNA from 1 species
GAGCACGUAGGUGGGUUUGUAAGUCAGAUGUGAAAGCCUUCUGUUCAACGGGAGAAUUGCAUCUGAAACUGCUAAUCUUGAGUAUAGGAGGGGAGAAUGGAACUUUUGGUGGAGCGGUGAAAUGCGUAGAUAUCAGAAGGAACGCCGGCGGCGAAAGCGAUUCUCUGGCCUAUUACUGACACUCAGUGUGCGAAAGCUAGGGGAGCAAAUGGGAUUAGAUACCCCGGUAGUCCUAGCCGUAAACGAUGGGCACUAAGUAGAGGGGAUUACCUAUGUUCUCUCUGCCGUAGCUAACGCAUUAAGUGCCCCGCCUGGGGAGUACGGCCGCAAGGCUAAAACUCAAAAGAAUUGACGGGGGCUCGCACAAGCGGUGGAGCAUGUGGCUUAAUUCGAUGCAACGCGAAAAACCUUACCGGGGCUUGACAUGAUAGAAGUAGGAACCUGAAAGGGGGACGAACGGUAUCCAGUCCGUAGCUAUUACAGGUGUUGCAUGGCUGUCGUCAGCUCGUGUCGUGAGACGUUGGGUUAAGUCCCCUAACGAGCGAAACCCUUGUUUUUAGUUACCAGCGGGUUAUGCCGGGUACUCUAGAAAGACUGCCGUCGUCAAGACGGAGGAAGGUGGGGAUGACGUCAAGUCAUCAUGGCCCUUAUGCCCCGGGCUGCACACGUGCUACAAUGGUCGGUACAGACGGAAGCGAAGCCGAGAGGUGAAGCGAAUCA